CACUCCGCGAAGCUAUUGGUACCCUGUCCAUUCUUUAUCCUUGAUGUAAACUGUGUUACCCCAUUUUACCCAUAAAUUGCCGGCCUUCCUAGAAAUAUCCUAAACUUGCUUUCCCACCGCUGCUUUAUUCCAAAGCAAAAUAUUUCCAACAUCAAGACCUCCACCACUCUUAUGCGAACAUACCAACAUAACAGGGUUAGUGUCUAUUAUAUUGCCCGGUUCAAAGAAAAUCCCUGCAAAAAGCAAAUAUCUUCUUUAACAUUGACUUGGGAAGAAGGAAGAUCGGACCCCAGUAUGUAUAGAAAAUAUGAAGCUUCACUAGUAGAAAAAACCCCUGUUGUAGCCCCUUGUUGCAGCGUACAUGUAUUAAUACGCUUCAACAACCAGUCGGUCAACGCAGGUCAAACCAUUUAAAUGGUUGUUGCAGCGUACAAUUUAAUUGUUCCCUGCAAAAGUGUUUGUUGCAGCGUACAUUUUAAAAGCCCCCUGCAAUAGCCCGUUUUUAUCGCAGCGUACAUUUAAAAGCCCCCUGCAAUAACCCGGAUAAAAAAAAAUUCGCUGCAAUAUUGGUUGAAUACUAUGGAGUAAUUCAGAACAAAUUAAGCAUCUCAAAAUUUCAGCUCUCGCGCUCAACUCCCUUCUUCUCCCCCUUAGCUUUCCCUGCGUCGCCCCCCCUCAAAAAAAAAAAAAAACAUUCCCGCGUCAUCAAUCUAGCUUCCUCGUCGAGUCGUCGGUGGUUCUGGCCUCCUCGCCAGUCGCCGGUGGGUUUCUUUUCUCGCCUCCUCUGCAGGUUCCACAUGUUUGUGUACUUUUUUUUGUCUGAGAGGAUAGUGGCCAUAUUCCCAUCAGGCCUGACCUCAGAAUUGCAGUUGGAAAUGGGGAAGGAAAUUCAAAAUUUGUCCCAGUUCCUUCAUCCUGGAUGCUAAGUUUUUCAGAUAAUAAUUUUAUGGACGAAUUGGAGCUAGACACUGCAGAAAUCCUUAGAAAAGCCAGAAGAAGGAGAAAACAAAAUUGUAAAAGAUCAUUCCUAACUCAAAGAAAGUGAAGGUUUGGACUUUUUCGAUUUGGUUAAAAAUAGAGUCAUGUAAUUCCGGAUUGAGUCAGGUAAUUUAGCUUGGGUAAUAUAAUGGGGGUUAGUUUUUCCCGUCUGUUGUGAUUUCUCACUUCUUUUCCUAAGCAUGAAGCAUUUUAGGCUAAAAUGACAUUUUCGCUCCCAACUUUGAACUAAAGAACCUAAUGACUCAUUUUAUACUUAUUACAUGUUUAAUAUGCAUAGUUUUAGCUUUCUAAGACUCAUUCCAAUCUAUUUAUGCACAUUUAAGGCUCAUUGGGUCGUUGUAGGUUUUAUUUAGGCUAAAAUGACAUUUUCGCUCCCAAAUUUGAGCAACGGAACCUAAGGAUUCAUUUUUUUAAACCUUUUACAUGAUUAAUAUGCUUAACUUUAAGUUUUCAAGACUCAUUCCAAUCUACUCAUACACAUUUAAUGCUCAUUGGGUCGUUAUAGGUCAUAUUUAGGCUAAAACAACCUUUUCGCACCCAACUUUGAACUAAAUAAACUAAGAACUAUUUUAUACUUAUUACAUGUUUAAUACGCAUAGUUUUAACUAUCUAAAACUCAUUCCAAUCUAUGUAUGCACAUUUAAGGCUCAUUGGGUCGUUAUAGGUCAUAUUUAGGCUAAAAUGACAUUUUCGCUCCUAACUUUGAACUAAAGAACCUAAGGACUCAUUUUAAACCUUUUACAUGAUUAAUAUACUUAGUUUUAAGUUUUCAAGACUCAUUCCAAUCUAUUUAUGUACAUUUAAGGCUCAUUGGGUCGUUUUAGGUCAUAUUUAGGCUAAAAUGACAUUUUUGCUCCCAAUUAUGAACUAAAGAACCUAAGAACUCAUUUUAUAGUUAUUAAAUAUUUAAUAUGCAUAGUUUUAACUUUCUAAGCCUCAUUCGAAUCUAUUUAUGUACAUUUAAGGCUCAUUGGGUCGUUAUAGGUUUUAUUUAUGCUAAAAUGACAUUUUUGCUCCCAAAUUUUAGCUACAGAACCUAAGAAUUCAUUUUAAACCUUUUAAAUGAUUAAUAUACUUAGCUUUAAGUUUCCAAGACUCGUUCCAAUCUAUUUAUGCACAUUUAAGGUUCAUUGGGUCGUUAUAGGUCUUAUUUAGGCUGGAUUGACAUUUUCGCUCCCAACUUUGAACUAAAGAACCUAAUGACUCAUUUUAUACUUAUUACAUGUUUAAUAUGCAUAGUUUUAACUUUCUAAGACUCGUUCCAAUCUAUUUACGCAUAUUUAAGGCUCAUUGGGUCGUUAUAGGUUUUAUUUAGGCUAAAAUGACAUUUUCGCUCCCAAAUUUGAGCUACAUAACCUAAGAAUUCAUUUUAUACCUUUUACAUGAAUAAUAUGCUUAGCUUUAAGUUUCCGACACUAUUAGGACAUUGUCAUUAGUUGCUUGAAUGUUAAAAUGUGAUAUUUAAUUUGCAUUUAAUCUAAUGCUUAGUUGAAAUUUCUG